GACGAACGCUGGCGGCGUGCUUAACACAUGCAAGUCGAGCGGUAAGGCCCUUUCGGGGUACGACGAGCGGCGAACGGGUAGGAGUAACAACGUGGGUGGACCUCGCCCUCCAGCUCUGGGAGUAAAGACCUCGGGAAACCGGGGUACCGUAAUAACCGGACGUAUGACUCCACUGACGCAUGUUGUUGGGGUGGGAAAGACC
rnacentral:rRNA from 1 species